rnacentral:tRNA from 1 species
GGGCGUGUGGUUCAUUGGUAGAGCGUCUCGUUACUCUGGGAAGCGGCCUCCGGCCCUGCCUAUUCAUCCAUCGGAGUUCUGGGUAACGAGGAGGAGCGGGUUCAAUUCCCGUCUCGUCCA